rnacentral:tRNA from 1 species
GUCCCUGUAGCACAGCGGAUAGCGCGCUGGACUUCUAAUGCAGAGGCCGUGGGUUCGAAUCCCACCAGGGAUG